UUGUCUCAGCACAGCUUGGCUCUCGAGACGCUGCCCUGCUGGUCACACACCCUCCUGGGGCCACAACAGCGUGAACAGUAAGGUCUUCUUUCACCUGGUCCCCUUGCCUCACCGGCGCUCAGCCUGCCCCCCGCCUCUUCGCCCACUGCGGCAGGCGGUGUGCGAGGGGCUCCGGGACGGGGGGCACAGCCGGCACAUUAACGCAUUUCCGAAAUACUUCCCCGCUGAGCCCGGAUUCACAGUGAGAUUCUCCACGAGCAGCUUUGGGUCGCUGCACACAGAGGCCCUGUGCUUUCCUUCCUCGCUGGUGAGUACCUCCCUUCAGGUACACCUGCCGAGGGCGUGCUGACGGAGGCUCCAUCGCGGCUCCCAUCCCCGGGAAUCUACACACACCCUUCCUCCUCUCCCUUAACCGGGACGGCUUAGGCAGAAACCAAUCUCUCAAGGCCUGAAGGACAGACAGGAGCACAAAGGGGACCCGGAGGGCCCUGCAGGGCUGGCGAAGGACGGAGAGGCUCCUGUGGCCCGGAGCGGGGGUUGGGUGCAAACAGGGGCAUCCGAGCAGAGUCCAGGGCCGGCAAAGGCUGCCCUGCCCUCCCCACGCCUCAAUCUGUGCCCUUACUUUCAGAACCAUUUGCAACGUGGCAUCACUGAGGAACAGUCCAGAAUUCAAGGUGACCACGAGGCAGGCAGCCGAGUGGCAGGGCCCCGGCGGGUGGGACACAGACCCCGACUGAGACCGGCUCCACCCUCCCCAGGGUUUGACCUUAGUCCAGUGGCUGAGCUCCUGGGACCCUCCACACCCCCAUCUGUAAGAUGGAGGAAGGGUUUGCAGACCUCUGCUCAGCCGCUGUGACAAGCACCGCGACCCGAGGGCUACAACUGCAGAAAUGUUUCUUUGCACAGUCCUGGAGGCGGGAAGUCUGAGCUCAGGGUCCAGCCAGGCCGAGUUCCGUGCGAGCUCUGCUCUCAGCUCGCGGACAGCCGCCUUCCCAGGCUGGCGUGAGGGUUGAAGAGAUAAUCCCUGGACUAUAGCACGCACUCAAAUGCUAUCCCUUGGAUAGGUUACAGAUAGAUACAUAGUAGAUAUAAUAGACAGAUAUCGAUAGACGGAUGGAUGGAUGGAUGGAAGCUCUGACCUUGGGAACUUGCCCAAGCACCCAGCUCUGAGGGCCUCGUGCUGGGCCCAGCCUCCCCGAUCCCAGCACGCAGGCAGUGAGGCUCUGCUCAAACACGAACCAACAAGGAGCCACCCAGUGUCUGCUGUGCUCCUCCUGGUGGGAUAAGACUGCAGGCGGCCUCGGGCUGGGUGAGUGCACUUUGCACUUGGGAAUGAUGGAAAUAAUUGUGGCCGAAGGAUAAGAUGGGGUGGAUUAAAAAUAGCUGCAAAAUCUCUGCAGUUGCCCCAUCAGGAGAUGUAGCUUCUUUCCCUAUUCCUGGAAUCUGGUCUGGCCUUGCAACCUGCUUUAACCGAUAGAAUGUGCUGGAAGUGACGUGCAAAUUCUGAGCGAGGCCAGCAGAGAUCUUUCAGCGUCCACGUCCUGCUCUCCUACCGCUGCCGACACCGUGUCACAAGCCCAGGCUCACCUGGCCAUGUGCAGGAGAACCAAGGCCCCCAGGCAACAGUGCGGCUCACAGCCCACUGUCUCAGAACAUCCCCGGCUCGUUGAUGCACCAGGUGGCCACAGCUGUGAGAGUGACCCCAGGCGAGAUCGGCAGGGGAACCUCCCAGCUGCCUCAGCCCACAUCGCUGAACCAAAUAAACAGUUGAAUUUGAACAAAUAAACAGUUACUUAUUUGAGCAGCAGUUGUUAUUUGAGCAAAUAGUUGCUGUUUUAAGCUACUAAGUUACGGGAUGCUUUGUUUCACGAUAAAGGCCAUUAAGACACAAGAAAAUAACCUAUUAUCAUCGCAGUGGUGAUCUAUUUUCCAAAACUGCACUGAACCACGACGCAGCUGUCAGUGGGGACGAUUUCACUGACACCCGCUCCUGCGCUAUGGCUGUCAGAGCCCCAAGGCUCCUCGAGGGAGUCACCACCUCCCACCGUGUUGCUGAUGGGAGCUCAAGGCGAGACCCCUCCCCAGGUCAGGAUGCCGGCGUGUCUGCCGAGGUUCUCAAAUGCUGGGGCAUCUGAGGUAGUCAUCUGAAGCCGAACUUCUGGGACUGUAACACACAAGCAAAUCACCCAGGGGCCUUGUUAAAACGCAGGUUCCUACUGAGAGGUCCAGGCUGGGCCUGUCUGACACCCCGGGUGACCCAGGGCUGCAGGCCCACAACCAACCAUGCGAGGAAGCAGUAGGGGAGCCAGGCUGACCGGCCUGGAGCCCAGGGGUCUCCACCUCAGCUGUGCAUCCCUGUGGAACUUCACAGACAGUUCCAGAAAUUCUGAUCUCCUUGGUCUGGGUGUAGCCUGGGAUGGGAUCUCCUGACCUCAGUUCGUCAGUGAUUCCAACGUGUGGCCUGGGUCGAGGAUGCCCUGCAUGAACGGACUGGUCCACUGGCUGUGGCUCUUCCACCCACGCCGCAGGCUCCUGCCCACCUGGUAAAGACCUGGCCUCACCCCCAUAAAGAGCCCCAUUACCGCUUCCUUCCGCAUGGUUGGAGCCAGGGCGAGGGCUGCUGUGAGGCCCCAGGCACCGCCAAGUGUAGCAGAGAGCAGGGUUCAUGCACAGACGUGCC